GAGACGGGAUGGUGAUCAGUGGUGACCUGCCAACCCGGGCCCUGGGAAACAGGUCUUCUAACCUGGCCACUCCUCUUCCCAAGGCCCUGCCUGGGAAGCGUCCCAGUCACCCAUGUGGGAAGCCUGGUGGCCUCCUCCGUCCCCCUGCUCAGUUGGCCACCUCUGUCCUGAUGUUGGGCGCCUGGGCAGUCCUGGUGCCCCUGGCAUUGCCGGCCUUCCUGAGCACCUCUCUCCCCUCAGAGACCAGGGGCUUCUUGGCGGGCAGAGGCCUUGUCUGAUUCAGCCUGUGUUUCUCCCUGUUCACUGGGCCCCACAGGUUCCUUAGCUCAGCCUCCCUCAUUGCUCAGCAGCAAGAAGUCACUUAGGAGGGGGAGUUUUGCACCAUGAGAAGGAACUUCACAUAGUGCCAAGAGGAGAGGGCGAGGGGAGGGAGCAAACCAGGGAGCAGGGGGAGGCUCUAGGGAGGCUCUAGGGAGAUUUCUGGGUUAAACAUGGCCUCCUUAACCCUUUAGUGUGGUUCCAUCCAACCUGGAGCCUGUGAGAUCUUAU